UACGAAGGGGGCUAGCGUUGCUCGGAAUCACUGGGCGUAAAGCGCACGUAGGCGGAUUGCUAAGUCAGGGGUGAAAUCCUGGAGCUCAACUCCAGAACUGCCUUUGAUACUGGCGAUCUUGAGUCCGGGAGAGGUGAGUGGAACUGCGAGUGUAGAGGUGAAAUUCGUAGAUAUUCGCAAGAACACCAGUGGCGAAGGCGGCUCACUGGCCCGGUACUGACGCUGAGGUGCGAAAGCGUGGGGAGCGAACAGG
rnacentral:rRNA from 1 species